rnacentral:rRNA from 1 species
CCUGCCGGACCUGACUGCUAUCGGAUUGGUACUAAGCCAUGCGAGUCAUGUAGCAAUACAAGGCGGACGGCUCAGUAACACGUAGUCAACCUAACUCGUGGACGUGGAUAACCUCGGGAAACUGAGAAUAAACCACGAUAGAUCAUAGUGCCUGGAAUGGCUUAUGGUCCAAACAGUUUACUGCCAUGGGAUGGGACUGCGGCCUAUCAGCUUGUUGGUGAGGUAAUGGCCCACCAAGGCGAUUACAGGUACGGGCUCUGAGAGGAGUAGCCCGGAGAUGGGUACUGAGGCACGGACCCAGGCCCUAUGGGGCGCAGCAGGCGAGAAACCUUAGCAAUGUGCGAAAGCACGACUGGGUCAGUCCGAGUGAUUCCUGAUAAAGGAGUCUUUUGCCUGUCCUAAAAGCACAGGUGAAUAAGGGGUGGGCAAGUCUGGUGUCAGCCGCCGCGGUAAUACCAGCACCUCGAGUGGUCAGGACGUUUAUUGGGCCUAAAGCAUCCGUAGCCGGCUCUGCAAGUCUUCGGUUAAAUCCACCUGCUCAACAGAUGGGCCGCUGGAGAUACUACAGAGCUAGGGAGUGGGAGAGGCAGACGGUAUUCAGUGGGUAGGGGUAAAAUCCUCUGAUCCAUUGAGGACCACCAGUGGCGAAGGCGGUCUGCCAGAACACGUUCGACGGUGAGGGAUGAAAGCUGGGGGAGCAAACCGGAUUAGAUACCCGGGUAGUCCCAGCUGUAAACGAUGCAAACUCGGUGAUGCAUUGGCUUAUGGCCAAUGCAGUGCCGCAGGGAAGCCGCUAAGUUUGCCGCCUGGGAAGUACGGACGCAAGUCUGAAACUUAAAGGAAUUGGCGGGGGAGCACAA